rfam:Myotis brandtii contig239894, whole genome shotgun sequence.
UGCAGUUUUCAGGUGAUGCAUUCCAGAAUCUGGCUCCCUCCUCUCUGGAGGGUGUAUCACCUGAGAACCACU